rnacentral:rRNA from 1 species
UGAACGCUAGCUACAGGCUUAACACAUGCAAGUCGAGGGGCAGCAUGGUCUUAGCUUGCUAAGGCCGAUGGCGACCGGCGCACGGGUGAGUAACACGUAUCCAACCUGCCGUCUACUCUUGGACAGCCUUCUGAAAAGGAAGAUUAAUACAAGAUGGCAUCAUGAGUCCGCAUGUUCACAUGAUUAAAGGUAUUUAUCGGUGAUGGAUGGGGAUGCGUCUGAUUAGCUUGUUGGCGGGGUAACGGCCCACCAAGGCGACGAUCAGUAGGGGUUCUGAGAGGAAGGUCCCCCACAUUGGAACUGAGACACGGUCCAAACUCCUACGGGAGGCAGCAGUGAGGAAUAUUGGUCAAUGGACGAGAGUCUGAACCAGCCAAGUAGCGUGCAGGAUGACGGCCCUAUGGGUUGUAAACUGCUUUAUAAGGGAAUAAAGUGAGUCUCGUGAGACUUUUGCAUGUACCUUAUGAAUAAGGACCGGCUAAUUCCGUG